rnacentral:rRNA from 1 species
UACGUAGGGUGCAAGCGUUGUCCGGAAUUAUUGGGCGUAAAGAGCUCGUAGGCGGUUUGUCGCGUCUGCUGUGAAAACUCGGGGCUUAACCCCGGGCCUGCAGUGGGUACGGGCAGACUAGAGUGCGGUAGGGGAGACUGGAAUUCCUGGUGUAGCGGUGAAAUGCGCAGAUAUCAGGAGGAACACCGGUGGCGAAGGCGGGUCUCUGGGCCGUAACUGACGCUGAGGAGCGAAAGCGUGGGGAGCGAACAGG